UACGAAGGGGGCUAGCGUUGCUCGGAAUUACUGGGCGUAAAGGGCGCGUAGGCGGAUGUUUAAGUCGGGGGUGAAAGCCCAGGGCUCAACCCUGGAAUUGCCUUCGAUACUGGACAUCUUGAGUGCGGGAGAGGUGAGUGGAACUCCGAGUGUAGAGGUGAAAUUCGUAGAUAUUCGGAAGAACACCAGUGGCGAAGGCGACUCACUG
rnacentral:rRNA from 1 species